rnacentral:rRNA from 1 species
GCAAGUCGAGCGAGAAGAUUGGUGCUUGCACUGAUUGGACAGCGGCGCACGGGUGAGUAACGCGUACACAAUCUACCAUAUACAGGAGGAUAGCCCCGGGAAACUGGGAUUAAUACUCCAUGGCAUCUGAACAUGGCAUCAUGUUAAGAUUAAAGCUCCGGCGGUAUAUGAUGAGUGUGCGUACUAUUAGAUAGUUGGUGAGGUAACGGCUCACCAAGUCGAUGAUAGUUAGGGGGCGUGAGAGCGUGAUC